GAUGAACGCUGGCGGCGUGCCUAAUACAUGCAAGUCGAGCGAACGGACGAGAAGCUUGCUUCUCUGAUGUUAGCGGCGGACGGGUGAGUAACACGUGGAUAACCUACCUAUAAGACUGGGAUAACUUCGGGAAACCGUAGCUAAUACCGGAUAAUAUUUUGAACCGCAUGGUUCAAAGGUGAAAGACGGUCUUGCUGUCACUUAUAGAUGGAUCCGCGCUGCAUUAGCUAGUUGGUAAGGUAACGGCUUACCAAGGCAACGAUGCAUAGCCGACGGGAGAGGGUGAUCGGCCACACUGGAACUGGAACACGGUCCAGAGUCCUACGGGAGGCAGCAGUAGGGAAUCUGCCGCAAUGGGCGAAAGCCUUACGGAGCAACGCCGCGUGAGUGAUGAAGGUCUUCGGAUCGUAAAGCUCUGUUAUUAGGGAAGAACAGAUGUGGAAGUAACUGUGCACAUCUUGACGGUAACUAAUCAGAAAGCCACGGCUAACUACGUG
rnacentral:rRNA from 1 species